rnacentral:rRNA from 1 species
AUUGAACGCUGGCGGCAGGCCUAACACAUGCAAGUCGAACGAGUGGCGGACGGGUGAGUCAUGUCUGGGAAACUGCCUGAUGGAGGGGGAUAACUACUGGAAACGGUAGCUAAUACAGCAUACCAUCGGAUGUGCGCAGAUGGGAUUAGCUAGUAGGUGGGGUAACGGCUCACGUAGGCGACGAUACCUAGCUGGUCUGCGAGGAUGACCAGCCACACUGGAACGUACACACGGUCCAGACUCCUACGGGAGGCAGCAGUGGGGAGUAUUGCACAAUGGGCGCAUGCCUGAUGCAGCCAUGCCGCGUGUAUGAAGAAAGCCUUGGGGUUGUAAAGUACUUUCGGCGGGGAGGCGUUACCCACAGAAGAACCACCGGCUAACUCCGUGCCAGCAGCCGCGGUAAUUC